UCAUACCCAAACCUAUCGAAAGCCAUCAACACAAUAAGGGAUGUGCGACUGUAGCUGAUGUUGAGUCUUCCAAGCUUACCUGUGAUGCCUCGCCUGAUAUUACUAGGUGAACGACAAGGUAAUCAUCAAAAGUGGAUGGUCAGCAUUGAAUCCUUAUUCGUUUGUGAAGGGUCCAACCUCGCCACAUUUCUAACAGGCCUUGCGACAUGUUUCUCCACCUUCUACAUUCUGAAUCUGCAAUAUCAGGAGGAGGCAGCUUACACCCUCUGAAGAGAGCAAUCAUGCAUAGUACUGCUGUAAUAACCACAGAACACUAUACUUCUACUUCAUACAACUGAUUAAAUCAAAUAUAAAUGCAGUUACAGUAAGAAAUAAAUGUCAGUUAAUUUCAUUGUGAGAAAGUGUGUUAACGUUAUAAAUUCACAUCCGAUUCAUUCACUUUGGCACAAUUUUCCUCUACAUGAAUCCUAGUGUACCCUAUCAGUUUUUGUAACUCUCUCUCUCUCUCUUUCUCUUUCUCUCUCUCACAGAAAAAAGGCCCAGAAGAAGCCUAAGAACAAUCACUAAUAAGUAAAGUGAAUGUUACUUGAUUUCUCAUGAAUGUUACUUGAUUUCCUCCCUGAUUUUCAUUUAUACUCAUCUCUGUACUUUAAAUUCUUCUGGACAUAAUCUGUCAGUUUAUUCAUUCUCACAUGUACACAAGCCCAAUGCGAUGCAAUGAUAUAGAUAAUUGAUAAAUAUCUGUGAUAAUUAUUCUGUAUCUUAUUUGAUUUUGAAAUAGUACUACUGUAGAUAACAUGUCUACAUUUUACAUACAUACGUGAUACACAAGCCUAAUGCCCUGUUUUUAUUUUCCAUGAUAAUUCUUUUGUACCUUAUUCCCGAUUUUUGAAAUACUACUAGAUCACGUGUCCACAAUUUACAUUUAUACGUGAUACACGAGCCUAAUGCAAUGUUU